ACCGGCCACCGGGAGGGCGGGCGGACUGGGUUCUCCCAGCUAGGUCGCAGUGGGCGAUGGGGAUCCCCAAGGGUGGGCCGAGAGCUGACGGAUCGGCAGCGCUGGUUAAGGCCCCGCACCUGCAGCCCCAGUGACCUUGAACGAUUCCGCUCUGCGGCGGGUGUCCCUAAACUAGCAGUUUAGGGUGUCAGUAAAUCUUGCUGCUGCUCAUUCUUUGGGUCCACGCUGUCUUUAUGAGCUAUAACACUCACUGCGAAGGUUUGCAGCUUCCCUCCUGAGCCAGGGAGACCACGAACCCACCAGAAGGAAGAAACUCCAAACACAUCCGAAGAUCAGAAGGAACCAACUCUGGACGCCCCUCUUUUAAGAACUGUAACACUCACUGCGAUGGUCCGCGGCUUCAUUCUUGAAGUCAGUGAGACCAAGAACCCACUAAUUCUGGACACACGGGGAUUACAGGCAUGAGCCACUGUGCCUGGCCCAGUUUAAGUUUAAAGUGAAAGUAUUAUCGAAUAAAAUGUUUGUCUGAGCUUGGGCAUUAUAACAAAAUACCAUAGCCUAGGUGACUUAAACAUACAUGUAUUUCUCACUGUUCUAGAGGCUGGAAGUUUGAGAUCAGGGUACCGAUGUGGUUGGGUUUUGGUGAGGGCCCUCUUUUGCCUUGCAGAUGGCUUCUCAGGAAGCUCUGAUGUCUCUUCCUCCUCUUUUAGAGGCACCAAUUCCAUCAUAGGGACCCUGUCCUCAUUAUCUCGCCUAAACCUAACUACAUCCCAAAAGCCGUGCCUCCUAAUACCAUCACCUUGAGGGGCUAGGGCUCCAACAUGUGAAGGUGGAGGCGGGGGAUACAAACAUUGAUGCCUAUAAUAUUUUAUGGCCAUCAUGGUGUGUAGAAAAUGUACUGACCUAGGAGUAAAAAACAGCUCUGAACUUAUCCACCAAACUUAGGCAAAUCAUUUACUCUUUGGGGGCCUCAGUUCCUUGUCUGUAAAAUGAGAUGAUUGAGAUGGAGGUUGUCCAAGUUUAUUUCCUGUUAGAAAAACAUUCUCCAUCUUUCUUUAGAACUACUAUUUUGGCUGGGCA
rnacentral:lncRNA from 1 species